GACCUGGAAACUACAUAUGCCACAUCGAUGGGGCUGAAGAGUCAGCUUCAUUAACUGCUCCACUGAGAGAUGAAACUUUCUGCGGUUCAUUAGGACAAUAAGAAAGGCUGCCUAGAGACGUCACAAAGCUGAGGCCAGGCCACAUCUUGUGCUGCAAACCAAAUUGGCAAUCUAUGAGGGUCAUCUGGUUCUAGUUUUGAAGGGAAUCAAGGAGAGCACGCGAGGCUUGGCACCUGGUCGCAGGGUCAGGGUCUUCGCAGAACGGCUUGAGAGGCUGAAGGGGAAGCCUCAGGUGGUAUGGAGGCUCCAGGAUAUUGGAGAUGCCGGGACUGUAGGAUGACCAUCGAUGGGAGCUGCAGAUUCGCAAAUGUCUGAAGGAAGCAGAAAAUCGUGUGCAGUGAAUGGCAGGGCUGUGGACCGCCCAAGGAUUUUGUGU
rnacentral:lncRNA from 1 species